GCAAAUUGCAAUGUUUAGGUGGGCAUUUGAGCACAAUUCACAACUACCUAUCCUACACCACACAAUCUAUUAACCUACACCAUUCAUCCCACCUCACCAUAUUCACAACAACACCAUUGCACGCAUCAACACAAAUCCCAGCCACUGCAUCCCACAACUCCCACAUCAACCACCUCUACACCACCCCCUCCUUAUCCUUCACCACAACAGCUGCUACCUUCUCGCAAGCUGCAACACCAUACCACCAACACCAACAACAACCUGUUCGACUCCCUCUCACCACGCAACAAAAAACGCAACCACGAAAUAGAGAAAAACAGAGUAAUUAAGUUUGGUCGAAUAGUAUUCAAGUUCGACCAAACCCGAAUUUUAGAAAAGUUCCUGACAAGGCCGGGUCCGGCCGAACCCACCGUGUGUUCGCCCAAACCAGAAACGGGUUCGCCCGAACCUCCAUUAAAGUUUGAUCCAACAUUUGAACGCGAAGUUUAGUACGGAAUUAAUGAAGGUCACGUGCCUUCUUGCCUUGGUUGUUGAUGGAAGCUUCGAUUUUCCGCCGUACAAAAACUCAACCAAUGGCUGCGAUUUCUUGUUGAUGCUCGAUGAUGAACAAUGAGAUGCAAUGAUGAUCUACGGUGAUGAUUGUGGAUAAUGAUAGACGAUGAAGGGGUGAUGAUGGACGUUGAUGAGGCUGGGAGCUGCAACAAAGAGCCGUUGAUGAUAGAUGGAUGAUGAACGCUGAUGAUUAUCAAACGGAGCAGUGUGAGUUUGGAGGAGGAGCAAACUCGAUGAAAAUGACGAAGGAAAUCAAGUGGGUCUGAUUGUUUUGAAAGAAAAGGGAUGCUGAUUGUGUUUGGGCUUUUGAAAGGAAAAAGCUACGGUGGGCUUUUUGGGUUUUGUUUUGUUUUGUUUUACUCUCUUUUUUUCUUUCUUUUUACUUUCUCCUCUUUUUAAUUACUUUUCUUUUCUUUGUUUUAUUUUCUUUUAUGAAUAUAUUUCUCCCUUUUUUUUCUUCUUAUUAUUAGUUUUUGGGUAUAUAUACUCCCUUUUCUCUAUUUUUUGGGGGAUUACCAUGUAAUAGACUAUGACUCGGUCUGUACAAAAUACCAGAGUCUGAUAUGCUAGUAGUUGUUCAAUUUCGCAAGGGUGGCUAUUCAGUUAGGUUUCUCCCUUCAUGUGCAGAUGGUAGAUGGAAGGAGAAUGGUAAAUUAAAGGAUGGCAAGGACUUAGAAAUUCUUUUGGACUGAUUUUGGACAAAUAAAUUAAAUACUAGAUUUUCGUUAUUAGAAUGAUUGUUAUGGAUAUUUUAUUUUCGUAAUAAGUAAAACUAAUAUGAAAUAAAUGUUUUCUUUUUGUAGUA